UACAGAGGUCCCAAGCGUUGUUCGGAUUCACUGGGCGUAAAGGGAGCGUAGGCGGCGUGGUAAGUCAGAUGUGAAAUCCCGGGGCUCAACCCCGGAACUGCAUCCGAUACUGCCGUGCUUGAGGGGGGACUGGAAUACUUGGUGUAGCAGUGAAAUGCGUAGAUAUCAAGUGGAACACCGGUGGCGAAGGCGGGUCUCUGGGCCGAUACUGACGCUGAGGAGCGAAAGCGUGGGGAGCGAACAGG
rnacentral:rRNA from 1 species